rnacentral:tRNA from 1 species
AGUAAAAUGCCUGAUUAAAAGGGUUAUCUUGAUAGGAUAAAUUAUGUAUUUUAUUACUUUUACUA